GCCCUCCUAGCUCAAUCGGAAGAGCGUGGGACUUUUACGAGGCUUAAACUCCUCUGAAAAAUACAUCCCAAGGUCGGGAGUUCGAGCCUCCCGGAGGGCG